UCCCGCGGUCUGGUUUGCUGGGGAGCCUGUUUCAAACGAAUAAGCGGGUUCUUUCUCUUGCCCUGUUGCAACCUGCCCCAUGAGCGCGCGCGCGCGCGCGCGCACACACACCCCGUGUAUUAUCCCCCCAUGCUUUCUCCUCCCUCUUCACGUGCAAUGCCUCUGAGUGUGCAAUGCUUGUCUGCUCGGGAGCGCAGCGUCCUUCACAGCGGAUUGGUUCCUCUUUCGGAGCAGAGAAGGCUGACAUAUCUUCCUGUGUUCAUUGUGUGAGCUGCUCUUCAACAAAUUAAAAAUCGUCCAGGACCAGGCAGGAUAUAACUGCAAUCUAUGUGCUUUCAAGAACACAUAGAGCAACCAAAGCAAACAUUUGUGAAACCCACUGGAAAAGUGCUACUCUCCAUUUGGAUGAUGACCCACUAUUGCUGUCAGGUCCUUGGCACCAUUCCAUCUGUGCUCCAGCUAUCCCUGGCUGUUGGAACAUCCCUGGCUGUUGGAUAUAAUUUGCAGCAUCCUUGAGGGUGUCCUAAAUUAUGAUGGUGGUCAGGAUGGUACCCUGCCAGCCCCAGGAUCACUGAUAUGCAAAGAUCGUAUAGGCUUUCUUUCCCUACAGCAUGGAUGAAGAGAGAUGAAUAUUGCUGCUGAUUUUUGGUUCCUUUGAGAGGACCAGAUACUGCAUCAAAGUGAAAGCAUGGAAAUAUGUAUGCACAGAGGGGAGUCAUAUGCAGGCCCCCUUCUACUUUCAGUGCACAGGAUGGAUCUGCUCUGGAGAUGAAUUAGGGUUGUUUAAUAAAGGAGCCUAUUAUCUGUGGGAUCCCUGCCUGAUUUGGCCAAAUUAGGGAAGAUUUUCACAGGGACAGCAAAAGGGAACUCCCUGACACAAAGGCCAACCCCUGCCAAAUUUUAGGUUCCUGUUCCAAAGGAUGGGGACCAAAAGCAUUUAAAAGAAAAGGUCUAAAGAUUUUUUUUAUCAUGCUUUUUCCCUCACCUUAUUCCUGGAAACAACUGAACCAAUGUUUCUGAAAUUUUCUGACAAAAUUCAGCCUAAGGCUGACAUCUAGCAAGAGAAAUUUCAUCCCAAAUGGUUAGAGUUUGGAAAAGUUGUAAACAAUUGAAAACAGGGUUGUAUAAUGGGAAGUAUUGAGUCCCAUCAGAAAUAAUUUUCCAUAGCUUGGGUAGCAAAUACAUUUUGGAUUCUACUCAGCACUGAAAAAAACCCCUCUAAAAAAGGGCAACUUCUUCUAUGAAACAUACUCAACUAAUAUUGAAAUAAUUGACGUAUGUUAGAGGCCCUUCUCAAGGCACAGCUUCAUUAAAUCAAGGUUAAUAGCAAAGUCUCAUGCCUGACAAUUUUAACUUUUUAUAUUUAAUUUAAAUUUUUCCGCACCAUCUACCCUUUCUGGCUUAUUUACCUGAUUUUCUAUUAAGUGAACAGCAUGAACUUCUAAUAUUUAGUUCCAAAGAUCAAGCAUCGUGUUCUUAUCUAACACAAAUGUCGAGGUGUCAGCCUGAUUAUACCCUUUGUUGCACAAAUAGGCAGCAAAACACAGAGAGUGGAUUUAAAAAAUGCUCAGCGUUGGUCUAAUUCUAACAUUGAAGUCAAUGUUAUUGACUUUAAUAGUGUUGAUUCAAUAGGAGAAGAGUUUGGCCAACACUGAGUACUUUGAAAAUCGCACCUAGCUACCCUUAUGACUUCAGUACACUCUGUUUGCAUUGCUGUAUCUCUGUAGAGGAAAAAUCAUUUAACCAGCUUGGGUUUAAUGUUUAUUACCCCCAAAUACAUGUAAUCCUAAAAGUGAGAGUCGAAUUUUAAAGACAUAGCAUUUGUCUGACAUAAAAGCACAGCUGGCUUUUAUGAACAAAUAUUAUGUAUCAUAUAAUUAGCAAUUAUUACAUUUUUCCCCAUGUAUAUUUAUUUGCAAGGCAUGUGACAUAAAUCAGGCAUUGAGUGGUAAGUGCUUUUCUAAACAAAAUCUCAAGAUGUGAUAUUUUAGAAAAAUUAGAACAAUUAUAUUUAUAUUGAUGUGUGUGUAUGUAUGUGUGUGUGUUUGUGAAUUAUAGCUUGUGACAAAUGAAGGUUAUACCCUAGUAACUUAAUUCAAAUGUAUUGUUUCUGCGUAUUCGUACUUUUGGGGUAUGCUUUAGAACCUUCUAGAAAGCAGUGCUGAACUAAGGAGCUCUAAUUAAUCAAACAUUGCAGGAAUGCCCUGGAAGAUUGAGCAUCAGAUCUAUAUAUCAAGUUGAAGGCAUAAUAAACAAAUCUGUAUAGCAAUGAAGGUAGCAUUCCUACAAAAUAAAAUAGAAACAUUACAAAGUUAUACUAAAUGACACUCCUUUAGCUCAUGAGUCCUAAGGCCAUGAGGUACUAUCACUAUGGCUUAGACAUAGCCUAAUCCACAUAGACAGACAUAGUGUGGAGAACACAUUCUUUUUACAGGGAUCUCCAAAGGCUAUAAACAAGGAGUAGGUGAAUUCCUAAAAAAUAUUUUUCUAUCCACAUAAAAGGAAAGGUAAAUGAGACAGUCUAUUUUCAGGCUCCAGUCUUGAAAAGGUUUCUCAAGCAUGGACUUUUACUCCAGAGUGGAGUUCUCUUUUCCACCUUAACUACUGGAGGCAGAUUACAUACAAAGAAAAUCUUUAUGCUGUAUACAAAUACUAGACUAGCCGUCAAGUAGCCAAAGCUCGCUCUGAGUGCGUGCGUGUGUAAUAUUUCAUAUAUAUCAAAUAAACUUCUAUAAUAGCAUAUGCCCAUAAAAGUGUGGUCUAGGGCACAGGCUAGUGUGCCAAAAGACAUAGGCUUGAUUCCCUGCUUAGCCCCUAACCUGUUGUGCAACCUUAGACAACUUACUUAACCUUUUUGUUCCUUUUUUCACCUCUGACCCUUUGUCAUGUCUAUUUAGAUUGUAAACUCUUAGGGCAUGUCUACACUUACCUCUGGAGUGAUAAAUCCAGUGGGGGUCGAUUUAUCGCAUCUAGUGAAGAUGUGAUAAAUCGACCGCCGAGCGCUUUCCCGUCAAUUCUGGUACUCUACUGUAGUGAGAAGCGUAGAUGGAAUUGACAGGGGAGCAUCAGUUGUCAACCUACCGCAGUGAAGACACCACGGUAAGUAGAUCUAAGUACAUCAACUUCAGCUACAUUAUUCACAUAGCUGAAGUUGUGUAACUUAGAUCGAUACCCGCCCACACACACCACCAGUGUAGAGCAUGCCUUAGAGGCAAGGACAGUCUCUCACUAUGUUUUUUACAGAGUGUAGUAAAAUAAGGCUUCCAUAUCAACAAGUCUUUGCAUUUUUCUAAUAUUACACGUUCAUAAAGAAAAUCUAAUUAAGCUGUACACAUAUAAAACUAUAUUAGGCUCUGAUCCUUCAAGGGGAGCCACUAAUGUGGACUUUUGUUCCCAGAUAAAAUUCUGUCGACUCUGUAGGGGGAUUACCUGUGUUCAGUUAUUAUUUGAUUUACUUUACUAUUUGUACACAGUAUAAAGAGUCAGUUCUUAUGGUAUUUUCAUAUAGUAAGUGUGAUUAAAAGUAUAUAUAUAAAUACAAAUAUAUUUUGCUUUUCAGGAUUACAAUACACACUUUCAGUAUGAAAUAAUGGGACCAGUUCUAAAGCUAAUGCUCAGACAAAUAAGUAUCUGUAAUGCAAUGCACGUAAAAGUAAUGGAGAAACUAAACCAAAUGGUGUGAACUUCAGUAGAAAACAGUUCUCAUGAGAAGCAAUUUUUACAGAGCUCUUGAAUGAUUUAUGCAACCAGUAUUUCACUGAUGGUUGUUUUCCAAAGUGGGUCAAGAACACAUAUGUUUAUAACACAUACAGAAAUUAUGUUAAAUCGUAAGGCUCUGAUAAACUCAACAAAGCCAAACACAUUUAGGAUUAAGCCUUUAGUUCUGUCCACAGCACAUUCCCCUGUGCCUCAGUAAUUGCAGAGUUGCAAAGGCUAGAGAUCAAUGCUUUUAUGUUAUGAGUUAAAGAUUAAUUGGAAGCCUUAUCACUGAAUUUUCUUACUUUCUUGGGUUAAAGUCAAACCAUUAAAACAACAUUAAUGUAUUUUUUCUAUGCUAAUUUCCUUUUAUUAAUGGUAGUUAAAAGGAAAAAAGAGCUCAUAGGAAGAGCCUUUAAAAAUCUAUUCUGUAGGUCCUCACCAGGGAUCUAUAUUGAUCCCUAAAUAGAAAAUUCAGGAGAAAUUGGAUGUGGAAUCUGUACAGUGAAGUACUUGGGAUGGGAAAAGGCAUUCAGAUAUUAGGUGGUGAGUAUGACAUCAAUAGAUCGUUUCUGCCACUCUUACAUUCAUUAGUACCUUUUUCCAUGUGUAGUUUAGCUGAAGUCAAUGGGCCUACUUGUGGAGUAAAGUCCUACUCAACAUAAGCAAAGGUGGCAGAGUUUGGUCCAAAAUGUAUUGUGUCUAGUUAUGUCCAGUUUUAAAACAGCACAUGACAAUUGCUUUGCAUAUCUUUGAAAAACAGAAAACUGAACAAGAAAGUUUUCUUUUGUCAUCCCUUGCCUGGCUUUUAUUUAACUGAUACCAGUCAUUACCAGGAAACAAAGAUUCCUGAAUUCAGAGCUUAACAGAAUAACAUUAUCUGUAGUUGUUAGUAUUAUAAUAUUUACUUCUACCCUGGAAAUAUGCAUGUACAUCCUGUUGCUGAUUUAAAAUUUUUAAUAGUUUUUUUAAAAAUGUUACUAAAACUUCUAAAGAUAGUUUGCCUUCUUUUACGUGGACUACAGUCCAGGUACAAAAUACAUAUGUUAUCCUGUGAGUAAGCACAAUGUUUUAUGCUUAGAGGUAUGCACAAUAAAAUAUUUCCCUGCCAUAUGAGCUUAACUGUAUUUAAUUGUGCUAUAUUAAUCAAGAUAUGUAAUUAUCUUCCAGUUAAACUGGAUCAUCAUUGUUUAAUUAAAACUGAGACCUAUUCAUUGCACUAAUAAUUGUUUGAAUGAGUCUUUUUUCUUGAGAAAAUCUUUUUAAUGUGGUAGAAUAAAUUAUGUAAUAUUUUACGUUUGGAUGGUUAUUUGUUUUCAGUUAAUUGUAAUUAUCACUGGCAUAAAUUAAAGAAUUUAUUAUUAACAUUAAUAAAUGCUUUAUUAUACCUAUUAUACAUUUCCCCAUUUCCAGGAUGUGAAGAACUGGGAAAUAACUGAUAUAUUUUUAUAAAUAUUGUGCUUGCCUUUGUGUGUUUAUGAUGGGUUGCUUUUUAUGGAGUUAGAUGAAAAUGGGGCUGUUAAGGGAACCAAGCAGGAGAAAUAGCCUGGAUUAGGAGCAUCCUAACAUAAUAGCCUAUAUAAGGAGCAUCCUAACAAACACAAUGGCCAAGUUAAUAGCUGUGAAGAGGCAAUGCCUUGGUCCCACCCAUAGUUACAUAGCUGUUUUGCCAAGGCUGAGAACCUGGAGUCCAGGGAGAUUACUGAUGAACCCAGGAAGCUGAAUAGCAGAUACUGCCUCCUCAGCCACUCUGGAACCUGCAUGGGGCAUAAUAAUAACCAAAAACUUCCCCCAACAAACCUGCAACCAGCGUCUGGCGGCCACAGCUGUGCCAGGGCAGGCUUAGCCUACUCUGGCCUAAUAUAACCACCGCCCAUGCUGCUAGGUAUCACAUUUGGCAGACAGGCAGGCGUAUAACCUGGAGACCCAGUCAGAGAGCAGUUAAAUAGCAGGGUCUCACCCAAAGAUAAGUGGAGACAUAGGCCUGACACUUGAAAGGAGUGCAUGUGGAGAACUGGAACAGGGUCUCAGAAGGAGCAGUUUACCCAGGCACCAUGAUACAUGACAUAAACAUUAUUUCUAAGGCUUAUCAGAAUGAUGUAAUUCACAAGUGGGCAAUUACUAUUACUAGAGAAAUUCUCCAGUCUCCAUUUUGCUUUUCUAAUCUUUAUUCUGAAUAAGCAAAAGUCAGUCCACCUUGAGAUGAACAUUCCAGAACCUGAGAAUGCUCAGUGAAAACCCAGAAUUUCUAAAAAUGGUACCCUGGCAAAGAGCCAAGUAUAUGUGUGUGUGUGGAUCGGCAAAAUCACAGCUCCGAGGUAAAUGACAGCAGUGAGCAUGUGCAAGAUUUGUGGCUACUGAGCAUGUGCAGUAAGGGGUGACAGAGAGGCCAGUUAACUGACCAUCUAGCUGGUUAUAGCCCACUCAUACCGGUCACAACUUGUUCUAAAGGUCAGAACUGCCAAUGAUAAUUCUGAAGUAAUGGUUAAUACUGAACAUGUACGAAUGAGGCUAUUGCUUCUAAGAAUAGAAGGGUAUAUUGAGAGAGAGUCAGAGUGCAGCAUAAAAAGCCAGCUGCCAGCAGGCAGAUUUGCAGAUGAAGAAAAUCUGGAUUGGAAAGAGAGAGAGCGAUUAGAUCAGGAGAAGACAGGGAACUGGAAGCUAGCAAAGAGACAGCUGAUGGAAAGAAAUAAGAAAAGCUGUGUCAGAGAGAGAGAAGAAACCAGAGCACAGCAAAGCUGACUAACCAGGAGCUGAAUAGCAACAGUGAGUAAAGAUUUACAAAGCAGCAACAGUGAUUUUAAAGGCAUACCAAUGGAUUAAAAAUAUAAGCUUGUAAUUUUUUAUAUGAAUUUUAGUGUAGUAUAAUUUAGUAUAAUAUUAUAUAUGUGUAUACUUGGAGUAUAUGUGUGUGUUUUAAUUGCAUUUUAUUUAUGUAAAACUUAAAGUAUAAUUUAAGAACUGCUGUCAGAGAUUUUUUUGCAAACUGGCCACUUGUAACAAAUUGCUUCGCUUAGAAUCAUUUGAUUUAUAUGCUAUUGUAGUUUAAAUUCUCUUUAAUGUGCAAUAUGGGAUUGGUGCCAGCGAUUUUGUGCCUUGUUUAGGAUUGUUGGAUUAUAUUGUAUUGGAGAUUAUUAGUUACUUUAAUAAAAGAUACUUUGUU